GAUGAACGCUGGCGGCGUGCUUAAUACAUGCAAGUCGAACGGAGACGUUAUAGCAAUAUGAUGUCUUAGUGGCGAACGGGUGAGUAACGCGUUGGUGACCUGCCCCGAAGAGGGGGAUAACAGAUCGAAAGGUCUGCUAAUACCUCAUGUUGUCAUCGUUUUUAGAAAGCGAUGAUUAAAGGAUUUAUCCGCUUUGGGAGGGGCCUGCGUCCCAUCAGCUAGUUGGUAGGGUAAUGGCCUACCAAGGCGUCGACGGGUAAGGGACCUGAGAGGGUGGCCCCUCACAAUGGAACUGAAACACGGUCCAUACACCUACGGGAGGCAG
rnacentral:rRNA from 1 species